UACAGAGGGGGCUAGCGUUGCUCGGAAUCACUGGGCGUAAAGGGUGCGUAGGCGGGUUUUUAAGUCAGAGGUGAAAUCCUGGAGCUCAACUCCAGAACUGCCUUUGAUACUGAGAAUCUUGAGUAUGGGAGAGGUGAGUGGAACUGCGAGUGUAGAGGUGAAAUUCGUAGAUAUUCGCAAGAACACCAGUGGCGAAGGCGGCUCACUGGCCCAUAACUGACGCUGAGGCACGAAAGCGUGGGGAGCAAACAGG
rnacentral:rRNA from 1 species